CGAACGAUGAAACUUAGUAGACUUCUUCGGAAAGACACUAAGCGGAUUAGUGGCGAACGGGUGAGUAACGCGUGAGUAACCUGCCUUACACAAGGGGAUAGCCUUUGGAAACGAAGAAUAAUACCCUAUAAAACUAUAAAAGCACAUGCUAGAAUGGUCAAAGUGCUAGCGGUGUAAGAUGGACUUGCGUCUGAUUAGCUAGUUGGUGAGAUAAAAGCUCACCAAGGCAACGAUCAGUAGCCGGCUUGAGAGAGUGUACGGCCACAUUGGGACUGAGACACGGCCCAGACUCCUACGGGAGGCAGCAGUGGGGAAUUUUGCACAAUGGGGGAAACCCUGAUGCAGCGACGCCGCGUGAUUUAGAAGGCCUUCGGGUUGUAAAAAUCUUUUGUAUAGGAAGAAAAUGACAGUACUAUACGAAUAAGGUCCGGCUAAUUACGUGCCAGCAGCCGCGGUAAUACGUAAGGACCGAGCGUUGUCCGGAAUCAUUGGGCGUAAAGGGUACGUAGGCGGCUAGAAAAGUUAGAAGUCAAAGGCUAUAGCUCAACUAUAGUAAGCUUCUAAAACUAUUUAGCUUGAGAAAUGGAAGGGAAAGUGGAAUUCCUAGUGUAGCGGUGGAAUGCGCAGAUAUUAGGAAGAAUACCGGUGGCGAAGGCGACUUUCUGGCCAUUAUCUGACGCUGAGGUACGAAAGCGUGGGUAGCAAACAGGAUU
rnacentral:rRNA from 2 species